rnacentral:rRNA from 1 species
AUUGAACGCUGGCGGCAGGCCUAACACAUGCAAGUCGAGCGGAUGACGGGAGCUUGCUCCUUGAUUCAGCGGCGGACGGGUGAGUAAUGCCUAGGAAUCUGCCUGGUAGUGGGGGACAACGUUUCGAAAGGAACGCUAAUACCGCAUACGUCCUACGGGAGAAAGCAGGGGACCUUCGGGCCUUGCGCUAUCAGAUGAGCCUAGGUCGGAUUAGCUAGUUGGUGGGGUAAUGGCUCACCAAGGCGACGAUCCGUAACUGGUCUGAGAGGAUGAUCAGUCACACUGGAACUGAGACACGGUCCAGACUCCUACGGGAGGCAGCAGUGGGGAAUAUUGGACAAUGGGCGAAAGCCUGAUCCAGCCAUGCCGCGUGUGUGAAGAAGGUCUUCGGAUUGUAAAGCACUUUAAGUUGGGAGGAAGGGCAGUAAGUUAAUACCUUGCUGUUUUGACGUUACCGACAGAAUAAGCACCGGCUAACUCUGUGCCAGCCGCCGCAGUAA